UACGUAGGGAGCAAGCGUUGUCCGGAAUCAUUGGGCGUAAAGCGCGUGUAGGCGGCUUCGUAAGUCCGUUGUGAAAGUCCAGGGCUCAACCCUGGAAUGCCGAUGGAUACUGCGGAGCUAGAGUCCGGAAGAGGCGAGUGGAAUUCCUGGUGUAGCGGUGAAAUGCGCAGAUAUCAGGAGGAACACCAAUUGCGAAGGCAGCUCUCUAGUACGGUACUGACGCUGAGACGCGAAAGCGUGGGGAGCGAACAGG
rnacentral:rRNA from 1 species